ensembl:lncRNA
CUUUCGCUUCUGCGGCGCUCGUCGGAACCUUCGUCUCUCUGUUCCUCUUCUGAUGGCGUUCUACCCUGGGAACGUGGGUGUGCUACUCCAUGUGGUUUGCAUGAUCAGAGACUGCAGGAUGGAUCUCGGAGAAGACGAGCUGGGCUGGGCCUCUAAGGCAACCAUGUAUAGACAUCCACAAUCUUCAGUCUCCUGAUCUCUGGGGUUUACUAGUGGCAGAAAGCAGACUUUGAAUGGACUAUCAUUUGGAAAGAAUGGGUAAGUCAUGUCCAUUAACUGUUCCUUUUUAAAAGGGGUUAUCCCCCUCGCGUUCUAAUUACUGUGACCCAAAUAUAUGGCCAUUGCAGCUGAUGACUUUUCUCCCAGUCAGAUCGACCCUGUUGAUCUCACUGAAUUAGCCAGUUUUGUUGAUGGCAUUGGUCACAAACACAACCUCAGUUUUCUGCUUACCAUCAACAGAUUUUGCUAUGUGGGAAUUGGGCUUGCUUCAAGGGUUUUUUCCCCCCUUAACCAAUCAAGUUAUUGGCUUCAUUUGUUGACUUUCUGCAGGGCUAGAGCACCCUGUGUUCGUCAAGGCAAUGAGGAAGUGGAUUCCAGCCUGAUUUUGCCGUCAGCUUGGUUCAGUCUAUCCUGUAACAGGUGAGGUUGUCCAAGUAUUAACCCACUAGUAAAAUGAUUAUUAAAUGUGCUCAAGGUAGGGAGGUCUUGAGUUUGCCCACUUGGGAGUAACCUGCAGACUCAGUUCCAUGUUGGGUAGAUGGGGAGAUACCUGGUCAUACCAAAAGUUCUAAGAAAGGGUGAAAUUAAAUGAAGGUAAACCUGUGUGAUUAAAUUAGUCUUGAUUGUAUACCUUUAAGCUGACCUCUACAGCCCCUUAAAUUGUACCAGUUUCCUGGUUUUUGCCAAACUACUCCGUUGUGUUCCCAGCUGCCUAACUGCCCUUGAUUAUAGUGGAGGUGGGAUAUCAACUUUCUCUACUUGAGUAUGAUGGGUUUGACUGCAAUGCCUCCUAUAUUUGAUUCCCCACUUUUUAUGGAAAAUCAAAACCUCAGAAGUGGCAUUGUCUGAUAGCUCAUUACCCUGAAUUUAAAAUUUUUCUUUGUGAAAUAAGUGGCUUGGCUUUUGUUGCCGUUUGAAAGUUGUUACUUUCAUGAUGACCCCUUAAUCCCUAGACUAUCCAUUUGAAUUCAUCUAAAUCCAAAUGAAAGAUCCUCCCAUCUGAUUAACAACUAAGAAUAUUAAUAGUUCCCUAAUGUCUGCUUAUUUAGGUUAUAUUCAGAUGUCCCCAUAUCUCCUAAAGUAUCUUGUAUUUAAAUUGUGUUAAGUCCCUCUAGAAUCAGCAUAAAAAACUUUGUGAUCCUGGGUUUUCUCUAGCUCUUAACUAGAUGUUCCAAACAAGUAAAAGUUGAUUAUCAGAAUGAAGUACUGAUUUCUUUCUUUUCAGGGCAUUUAUCAGCUAUGGACUUGGAAUACAAGGCCUCAAAUGACUGAUCCUGUGCUCUCCAGAGAAAGCAUGACUUGGUUGAUUAGUCUCACAAGAUGAUUCUGCAACCCAGGUAUCCAGAGUUGGAAAAGCCUCUGCCUGCUCUGAAGAAUCAGUUACUGAUUUUUAGCCUCCCUAUGUGGAAAAUAAAGCCCUUUAAAUCAAAA